CGCACGGCCACCGCGAGCCGAGGAGCAGGCCUCCCCGAGAGCGCCGCCCGGGCCUGGGGAAGACGGCGCCGGCCCCAGGCCCUCGGCACUAGCUCAUGGAGGACAGAGGUGACAGAUGAGGAUGAGGAGCAGAGUUUGGCUUCAUCCCUUGCUGCCUGGUCAUGCCCAAGGCUUACCUUUCCUCCCCAAACCCCAGCCACCCAGUUUCAAGCUGAAGUAUGCUGACUCUUCACUGGGUGCUUUUGUAAUGAAUGAUUAUUAAAAUAUAAUGUUUACAAUUGCCCAGUUUGCCUUUUGUUGCCUUUGUUUCCAGAGGUUGGGUAAUAAUGCAGGCGCUAAAUCAGAUGGAACUUCUUCCUUCCAGAAGUGCAGUUCAGAACCUUGUUAGAGAAUGCAUUUGCAUUGUGGUGUGUCUAAUCUAUUUUAAAAGACUGUGAAAUAUGUUAUCAGAGCUUCUGGGGGGCGGGGGUGGUAAUUUGUGCUGUGGCUUAUAAGUACUGGCUCUCUCAUAGCUGUGGCCCAAAAGGCAUUCCUUUGUUUUCAGGUGACCACAGAUUUGCUGAACACCCUCGAUUCAAAGUCAGCAAUCAUUUGUUGAAGGCCUGCUGUGCACCAGGCACCUUGGUAGCCCUUAGCUCCCCACCUUCCUGCAGUGGCGUUAUCUGCCUGCUUGUAGAUGAGCAAUCUGACCACAUGGCACAGCUGUACCUUGGAGUUCAGUGACGAUUCUCCCUGCAUUUCAAGACAGCGUUUCCUAGCACUGAUUCCUCCGAAUGGAAAGAAUUAUCUCCUUAACUUCAUCACUACAUCUGGCAGCAAAAACAGAGAGCCCACGGCAGCUGAAAACAUGCAUAUACUUUAAAUCAACAGGGGUCCAAUGUUCUUCUUGGCCUUAAGUCAUCAAAGAAUUCCUCAGCUGUAAGAGGUUCCAUUAUUAAUGCAGGGAGAUGCUAAUAAAGCUGUUAUACACCGAUAGUUUUGCUUUAUUUCCUUUUCUCUUUCCUUCCUUUAACCUUUCUACUUUGCUCCCUCCCUCUUUCCCUCCUUUCCUUCCUUCCUUUCCUCCUUCCCUUGCCUACUUUUCCUUUGCUUUCCUCUUUCUUUGGGUGUAUGUAAAUCACUGUGAUUGCAAUAAACAGCCUAAAGGUUUUGCAUUUUUAGUGAACUAAGAUUUACAGAUCAGAGCUAGUCACUAGCUGGUCCUCUUUACAGUAAACUCACUUGGUGCCCUCUGCACAGCGAAGGAGCCAAAAUGAAUCCAGCUCCACACUCCGGUUAGGUUGUCCGAGGUCCUGCGCCUUGAUACGCAUCACUUCCAGUAACAACUUUGGUUUUCACGUUGAUUCCACGUCCCUCCAUUCAUCUGGAGAGCAGGAGCUGUAAUGCAAAACAAAGCAGCGCGUUCUGCCCAGAAUAAGGGCCCUGUGUGGAGCUGAAACCCGUCCUUUCCAUGCCGCUUACUUCCCAGCAGCGGCACUGGGACUCGCUUUUUGUGCUAGCCAGAAAAGCUAGCACGAGGAAGCAGCAUCCUCCCCCCACCCCCAUCCUUUAAUCCUUUUAUGUUGAAUCUUUGCCACUGAAACCUAAGGAAAUAACUCGGAUUAAAUACAAUAGUUAUGCAUAACCAUAGCCUGUUGCUAGGUGUGGUUUCAAAACAGUUUUUAUUUCCAAUAAAUGCCCUUUGAUAAUGAAAUAGCAUGACCCUCCAGUAAUUAAAUAGUAAUGUUUUCAACAAUUGCUGUCACAGAAGGAAUUGGCAUAACUCUGCAAGUCUGGUUGUGUUUCAUAUUAGUAUUUGUACAUAGAUACGGGAAAGAUUUUAUAGACACAGAAAUGUUAUACUUAAUAACAUGGAAACCAAUAAAACUCCAAUUGGAAAGCUUCACAUUCUCCUUUUUCCUGUCGUAUUGAAAAAACAAAAGCACUAUGUAUUUUUAAUGGUUUGCUUACUAAAGAAAAAUGUCAUAUUUCUUUAAAGAAGUAUAAAAUAGAACAUAAAGAUUCUAGUAACUUGAAAGACCUGCAAGUCUUUUCUAAACUCACAGAAAUUGGCUUCAUUUUCUUUUUUAUUCUAGAAAAAAAGACCAUUUUCUAUGAUAUAGUAAAAUAGUCCAUAAGAUAUUAUUCAUGGAAUGGGGAGAAACACUUCACUUUCAUUGAUUUUAAUAUCAAAAAGUUUGCAGGAAAUGUUCAUAAUUUAAAUUUACGUGCAAGAAAGCAAAAUGCAAAAUACCAUGAGCCCAGUUUUGUAAAAACUGAAACAAACACACAUUAAAAACAUACUAUACUUCAGUAAAAUGGCUUUUAAAAAACAAGACCAGGGAUCUUCAGCAAUGAGAAUAACAAAGAAAAGACACCUCCUGAGAUCAUCUCCGUCUCUGGUCCAGCUUCCUUGCUCACCAAAGGAAUCUUUUGUACUGACUAAAUUUCUUAUCUGUCCCAUGGUGAAAAAAAGAUUGAAAGGAUACAUACUACAAUGUGAUUGUUUUCUCUGGCUGUUGAGAUUAUUUCUUGGUGAUGUUUACCUUCUUUAUCCAUUUAUGCUACUUUCCAUUUCUAUGGUGAUUAGGUUAUAUUAUUUUAAGAGAAAAGUACUAUUUUAAGAAAACACACACACACACACACA